rnacentral:rRNA from 1 species
CCGUUCAGGGGUAAACCUGAGGAACCCGAAAGAUCGAAUGGGGAGAUUCAGCGUCAGCGGCGCUGGCUCGGCCGAGUGAGCGUUGUUGCCGACUACGGUUGGCGACACGUUAUCACUCAUGCCUUGUCCGGUGUCGUCGUCGUGCACUUCUCCUCUAGUAGAACGUCGCGACCCGUUGGGUGCCGGUCCUACGGUCCGAGCGGUAGACUGUCGCGUCGCUUCGGCGCACGCGUCAGACCCUCGGUCUCCCGGCCGGCUGCCCGGCGGUCGAACUUAUAAGGUAUCUUGCCGCAAUUAUCGAACUGCGUCGGGCCCGCCGCAAGCGCGGUCAGUGUCUCGGAGGUACGGACCCGGUGCCGUCCCCGAGCCUGACCAGCUGUUGGCAGGCGGAGUCCUCGGACGGGCAAUACACAAUAAUACCGGUCUGCGACGCUACUGCUUUGGGUACUCUCAGGACCCGUCUUGAAACACGGACCAAGGAGUCUAACAUGUGCGCGAGUCAUUGGGACUGCAAAGCCUAAAGGCGUAAUGAAAGUGAAGGUCGACCUCGCGUCGACCGAGGGAGGAUGGGCCGCGUUAAGACGCGGCUCCGCACUCCCGGGGCGUCUCGUUCUCAUUGCGAGAAGAGGCGCACCCAGAGCGUACACGUUGGGACCCGAAAGAUGGUGAACUAUGCCUGGUCAGGACGAAGUCAGGGGAAACCCUGAUGGAGGUCCGUAGCGAUUCUGACGUGCAAAUCGAUCGUCGG